AGAGUUUGAUCCUGGCUCAGGAUGAACGCUGGCGGCGUGCCUAACACAUGCAAGUCGAGCGAUUUACUUCGGUAAAGAGCGGCGGACGGGUGAGUAACGCGUGGGUAACCUGCCCUAUACACACGGAUAACAUACCAAAAGGUAUGCUAAUACGAGAUAAUAUAAGAGAUUCACAUGGAUUUCUUAUCAAAGCUGAGGCGGUAUAGGAUGGACCCGCGUCUGAUUAGCUAGUUGGUAAGGUAACGGCUUACCAAGGCGACGAUCAGUAGCCGACCUGAGAGGGUGAUCGGCCACAUUGGAACUGAGACACGGUCCAAACUCCUACGGGAGGCAGCAGUGGGGAAUAUUGCACAAUGGGCGAAAGCCUGAUGCAGCAACGCCGCGUGAGUGAUGAAGGCCUUCGGGUCGUAAAACUCUGUCCUCAAGGAAGAUAAUGACGGUACUUGAGGAGGAAGCCCCGGCUAACUACGUGCCAGCAGCCGCGGUAAUACGUAGGGGGCUAGCGUUAUCCGGAUUUACUGGGCGUAAAGGGUGCGUAGGUGGUCUCUUAAGUCAGGAGUGAAAGGCUACGGCUUAACCGUAGUAAGCUCUUGAAACUGGGAGACUUGAGUGCAGGAGAGGAAAGUGGAAUUCCUAGUGUAGCGGUGAAAUGCGUAGAUAUUAGGAGGAACACCAGUAGCGAAGGCGGCUUUCUGGACUGUAACUGACACUGAGGCACGAAAGCGUGGGGAGCAAACAGGAUUAGAUACCCUGAUAGUCCACGCCGUAAACGAUGAGUACUAGGUGUCGGGGGUUACCCCCCUCGGUGCCGCAGCUAACGCAUUAAGUACUCCGCCUGGGGAGUACGCUCGCAAGAGUGAAACUCAAAGGAAUUGACGG
rnacentral:rRNA from 1 species